rnacentral:ncRNA from 18 species
CGGGUGGCACGCGACUGGCGAUAGGCUCUCAACCCGGCAAGGGCGUGAGACGCUGAAGUGGGAACACCACGGGGGAGCGUGCCGCAUUGCCAAUGUGGCAACUGUGUUUAGCCGUUCGCCUGGGCAGCCCUG